AACAACAGGGAUUGCCCAGUAACGGCGAGUGAAGCGGCAACAGCUCAAAUUUGAAAUCUGGCUCUCGGGCCCGAGUUGUAAUUUGUAGAGGAUGCUUUUGGUGAGGUGCCUUCCGAGUUCCCUGGAACGGGACGCCAUAGAGGGUGAGAGCCCCGUCUGGUUGGACACCGAUCCUCUGUAAAGCUCCUUCGACGAGUCGAGUAGUUUGGGAAUGCUGCUCUAAAUGGGAGGUAUAUGUCUUCUAAAGCUAAAUACCGGCCAGAGACCGAUAGCGCACAAGUAGAGUGAUCGAAAGAUGAAAAGAACUUUGAAAAGAGAGUUAAACAGUACGUGAAAUUGUUGAAAGGGAAGCGCUUGUGACCAGACUUGGGCUUGGUUGAUCAUCCGGGGUUCUCCCCGGUGCACUCUUCCGGCUCAGGCCAGCAUCAGUUCGCCCUGGGGGAUAAAGGCUUCGGGAAUGUGGCUCUCUCCGGGGAGUGUUAUAGCCCGCUGCGUAAUACCCUGUGGCGGACUGAGGUUCGCGCAUUCGCAAGGAUGCUGGCGUAAUGUCAUCAGUGACCCGUCUUGAAACACGGACCAAGGAGUCGUCUUCGUAUGCGAGUGUUCGGGUGUCAAACCCCUACGCGAAAUGAAAGUGAACGCAGGUGAGAGCUUCGGCGCAUCAUCGACCGAUCCUGAUGUUAUCGGAUGGAUUUGAGUAAGAGCAUACGGGGCCGGACCCGAAAGAAGGUGAACUAUGCCUGUGUAGGGUGAAGCCAGAGGAAACUCUGGUGGAGGCUCGCAGCGGUUCUGACGUGCAAAUCGAUCGUCAAACAUGGGCAUGGGGGCGAAAGACUAAUCGAACCUU
rnacentral:rRNA from 1 species